GUGCAACUGGACUGGUUGCGCCGGCGACUGUUGUCGUCAGACGAAGAAAAAACCAGGGUGCUGCACCAUGUGUCGCAUG
rnacentral:tRNA from 1 species